rnacentral:rRNA from 1 species
UACGUAGGUGGCUAGCGUUGUCCGGAUUUACUGGGCGUAAAGAGCGCGCAGGCGGUCGUUCAAGUCGAGUGUGAAAGCCCCCGGCUCAACUGGGGAGGGUCACUCGAUACUGAUCGACUCGAAGGCAGGAGAGGGAAGUGGAAUUCCUGGUGUAGCGGUGGAAUGCGCAGAUAUCAGGAGGAACACCGGUGGCGAAGGCGGGUCUCUGGGCAGUAACUGACGCUGAGAAGCGAAAGCGUGGGGAGCGAACAGG